GCCCUAGUAGCUUAGUCUAAAAGCAUCGGUCUUGUAAUCCGGAAGUCGGAGGUUAAAACCCUCCCUAGUGCU
rnacentral:tRNA from 1 species